GACGAACGCUGGCGGCGUGCUUAACUCAUGCAAGUCGAACGGAAAGGCCCUGCUUUUGUGGGGUGCUCGAGUGGCGAACGGGUGAGUAACACGUGAGUAACCUGCCCUUGACUUUGGGAUAACUUCAGGAAACUGGGGCUAAUACCGGAUAGGAGCUCCUGCUGCAUGGUGGGGGUUGGAAAGUUUCGGCGGUUGGGGAUGGACUCGCGGCUUAUCAGCUUGUUGGUGGGGUAGUGGCUUACCAAGGCUUUGACGGGUAGCCGGCCUGAGAGGGUGACCGGCCAUAUUGGGACUGAGAUACGGCCCAGACUCCUACGGGAGGCAGCAGUGGGGAAUAUUGCACAAUGGGCGGAAGCCUGAUGCAGCAACGCCGCGUGCGGGAUGACGGCCUUCGGGUUGUAACCCGCUUUCGCCUGUGACGAAGCGUGAGUGACGGUAAUGGGUAAAGAAGCACCGGCUAACUACGUG
rnacentral:rRNA from 1 species